UACAGGGGGUGCAAACGUUGCUCGGAAUUAUUGGGCGUAAAGCGCGCGUAGGCGGCCGCUUAAGUCGGAUGUGAAAGCCCCUGGCUCAACUGGGGAAGUGCACCCGAAACUGAGUGGCUUGAGCACUAAAGAGGGUCGCGGAAUUCCCGGUGUAGAGGUGAAAUUCGUAGAUAUCGGGAGGAACACCGGUGGCGAAGGCGGGUCUCUGGGCAGUAACUGACGCUGAGGAGCGAAAGCGUGGGGAGCGAACAGG
rnacentral:rRNA from 1 species